UCAAAUGGUCUGGAGAAGGUUUUCACCAGCCAAAACUGAAUGUGCUCAAAGCCUUUAUGUGGUGGCCAAGAUGCCAAGCAUUACUGAUGGGGAAAGCCUCAUGUCAAGAACGACAGGAUUGGCCCAAGUACAACAGCAUAUUUACAACUGUGUGGAUGUGAAAAAUCACUUUGUAAAUAGUUUGUUUUUUCAAGGAAUGAACCAAUAUUUUUUUUCCAUUCAUCACAGCUAAUAUAGCUGAUAUUCUACUCAUCAUUUGGACAAUUAUGCACAAGUGGGAGACCUUCAACACUUUAUACAGCAAGUAUAUGCACAUCCAUAUCAUAUAGAUUGUGCUUGAUUUAUUCUUCUGCUUUUUCUAUUAGUUUUUUAUUCUCUUCUCUCUUUUCUUACUGCAGUCAAAGGAUAAUACACUUUUUUUUGACAUGAGGAUAAAAUGACAGUAUAUUUAAAAAAGAAAGAAAAUAAUCUAUUAAAAAAAUAUAUAUAUAUAUUCAAGAAGGAACUUGUUUGUUUAUGAAUACCUGGAUCGAUGUUUGAAACUAUUCAUAAAAAGACAGUUGUAUUACGGAGGUAUGUGUUUUGUAGAGGAUUUAUUUAUUUCGCUUUAUUUUUUAUUCAUUAUGAUAUAAUUUUGCCUCAUUUUGUUCCAGUUUUAGUAUACCUAUUACCAUAAUGAUACUGAAGGAUAUUAUUAAUCUAGUAUAUGUCAGAUUGUAACUUAAUGAGUUAAUAGAUUGAGUUGUCUUUAUAGAAAUUAUAUGCUCAAAGAUGAACA